CCUACGGGAGGCAGCAGUAGGGAAUCUUCCACAAUGGGCGAAAGCCUGAUGGAGCAACGCCGCGUGGGUGAAGAAGGUCUUCGGAUCGUAAAACCCUGUUGUUAGAGAAGAAAGUGCGUGAGAGUAACUGUUCACGUUUCGACGGUAUCUAACCAGAAAGCCACGGCUAACUACGUGCCAGCAGCCGCGGUAAUACGUAGGUUGCAAGCGUUAUCCGGAUUUAUUGGGCGUAAAGGGAACGCAGGCGGGCUUUUAAGUCUGAUGUGAAAGCCUUGGGCUUAACCGGAGUAGUGCAUUGGAAACUGGGAGACGUGAGUGCAGGAGAGGAGAGUGGAACUCCAUGUGUAGCGGUGAAAUGCGUAGAUAUAUGGAAGAACACCAGUGGCGAAAGCGGCUCUCUGGUCUGUAACUGACGCUGAGGUUCGAAAGCGUGGGUAGCAAACAGGAUUAGAUACCCUUGUAGUC
rnacentral:rRNA from 1 species